GGUAGCUUGCUACUGGACCUAGCGGCGGACGGGUGAGUAAUGCUUAGGAAUCUGCCUAUUAGUGGGGGACAACAUUCCGAAAGGAAUGCUAAUACCGCAUACGUCCUACGGGAGAAAGCAGGGGACCUUCGGGCCUUGCGCUAAUAGAUGAGCCUAAGUCGGAUUAGCUAGUUGGUGGGGUAAAGGCCUACCAAGGCGACGAUCUGUAGCGGGUCUGAGAGGAUGAUCCGCCACACUGGGACUGAGACACGGCCCAGACUCCUACGGGAGGCAGCAGUGGGGAAUAUUGGACAAUGGGGGGAACCCUGAUCCAGCCAUGCCGCGUGUGUGAAGAAGGCCUUAUGGUUGUAAAGCACUUUAAGCGAGGAGGAGGCUACUAGUAUUAAUACUACUGGAUAGUGGACGUUACUCGCAGAAUAAGCACCG
rnacentral:rRNA from 1 species